ensembl:Y_RNA Y_RNA Y RNA
GGCUGUUCCAAAGGUAGUGAGUUAUGUCAAUUGUUCACAGUCAGUUACAGAUCGAACUCUUUGUUCCCUGCUUCUCACUAUUCUACUUGACUAGUCUUUA